UUUGAAUAGGGUCUUAGAAUGAAUGGUCUCUCUUCUUCCCCUGGUUUUUGGUUCUUCUGUUUACAGACCAAUGAUGGGUCAAUGUCAGUCAAAUUGUGUGAUUUAGAUCAAUGGGUCAAAGUGUAUGAUGUGAUUGUGUAAUUGUGUCGAUUAUAUAUAAAAUUUUGAAGUCUCUCGUAGUUUGAAUUUGAAAUUGUACACACUACGUAUAGGAUAGUGGUUAUAAAUUUUGAAUUUUGAUGCG
rnacentral:sRNA from 1 species